rnacentral:rRNA from 1 species
GAUGAACGCUAGCUACAGGCUUAACACAUGCAAGUCGAGGGGCAGCAUGGUCUUAGCUUGCUAAGGCCGAUGGCGACCGGCGCACGGGUGAGUAACACGUAUCCAACCUGCCGUCUACUCUUGGACAGCCUUCUGAAAGGAAGAUUAAUACAAGAUGGCAUCAUGAGUCCGCAUGUUCACAUGAUUAAAGGUAUUCCGGUAGACGAUGGGGAUGCGUUCCAUUAGAUAGUAGGCGGGGUAACGGCCCACCUAGUCUUCGAUGGAUAGGGGUUCUGAGAGGAAGAUCCCCCACAUUGGAACUGAGACACGGUCCAAACUCCUACGGGAGGCAGCAGUGAGGAAUAUUGGUCAAUGGGCGAGAGCCUGAACCAGCCAAGUAGCGUGAAGGAUGACUGCCCUAUGGGUUGUAAACUUCUUUUAUAAAGGAAUAAAGUCGGGUAUGGAUACC